GACGAACGCUGGCGGCGUGCUUAACACAUGCAAGUCGAACGGAAAGGCCCUGCUUUUGUGGGGUGCUCGAGUGGCGAACGGGUGAGUAACACGUGAGUAACCUGCCCUUGACUUUGGGAUAACUUCAGGAAACUGGGGCUAAUACCGGAUAGGAGCUCCUGCUGCAUGGUGGGGGUUGGAAAGUUUCGGCGGUUGGGGAUGGACUCGCGGCUUAUCAGCUUGUUGGUGGGGUAGUGGCUUACCAAGGCUUUGACGGGUAGCCGGCCUGAGAGGGUGACCGGCCACAUUGGGACUGAGAUACGGCCCAGCCUCGUACGGGAGGCAGCAGUGGGGAAGAGUGCACAAUGGGCGGAAGCCUAAUGCAGCAACGCCGCGUGCGGGAUGAGGGCCAUCGGGUUGGAAUCCGAUUUCGCCUGUGACGAAGCGUGAGUGACGGUAAUGGGUAAAGAAGCACCGGCUAACUACGUG
rnacentral:rRNA from 1 species